rnacentral:lncRNA from 1 species
AAUCUAGUUUUCUUUCCACACUGGUAGCAUAGACAUGAAUCAUUGUUAUCAGACAAAUUGUUUUAUUUAUAAUACCUCAGUUGAUCAUCUUAUGGUCCUGUGAGUGAAAAUAUUAUUAUCCUUAUUUGAUAAAUGAGAAAACUGAGGCCCAUAGAAAUUAAAUAACUUCCAUGGGAUCAUACAUAUAGUUAGUAAAUGGCACAGUCAAGACUCAUACUCCAGUGGUCCAAAUUCAUAUUCAUAUCUGCAUCAAAUUCCUACCAAGGGCUCUUUCUUGUCCUGGAUGAGUAGUGGAUCCCGAUUUGAAGAACACAAGUCUUCAAUCAAAAUGAAAGAAGACAAAAGAGUGACAUGCUGACCAGAUGGAGGACCAGAGAGCAAGAAAGAGUUUAUACAAGCAACAUAAAAGGACAUGGAAGGACUUUGAAAUUUUGGAACUUUUGAUCAUAAGGAAUAUCCAGAUCUGCCAUGUCUCAGCUGAGGACAAAACUCAUUGCUGAACUCUCUGCAGCUGACUAAGGGGAAAAUAGUUGGAGCCCAAGGUCCGAAACAUGUCUAAGGACUGUAGUCACAAAAAUAAAGAGAAAUCUUAUCAUCUGGAGCUAGUCA